rnacentral:rRNA from 1 species
AGAUCCCAGAAUUCUGUUAUAUUUUUUUUUUUCAACCCCUUAAGAGAAUUUUUAAUUUUUGUUGUUUCCUCCGCGCCCCGCGCGCGAGGGCGAGGUCGAAAGGUUGAGUUAAACUCAGUAAUGAUCUCUCCCUCCCCCUUGAUGGGAUUAAUUAUCUUCAGUGUGUUCUUCCUCACUCCCUCCGUCAACCAUACCUAAAAAAUGUGGUUUUUUGGCCGAGAGUUCUUCCCGGAUCCUCGCGUGCGGGCGUCAAGGUGGUUGGCAAAGGGCGUGCGGGAAGCUACUCUCUUAUUAAUGAGGGUUUUUUUUAGGUGUUGGAGCCCAAUAUCAAAACCUUUUAUCAGGGGUUAUUUGGCUUUUGGACCGGCCAAGCACGCAAGAGAAAUGCGGUAAGUAAUGUGAAUUCAAGAAUUCAGUGAUCCAUGGAAUUUUUGAACCCACAUUGCGCCCCCCACCAUUCUGGCGGCCAUGCCUGUUCGAGCGUCAUUUCAACCCUCAAGCUCUGCUUGGUGUUGGGGCCCUACAGCUGAUGUAGGCCCUCAAAGGUAGUGGCGGACCCUCCCGGAGCCUCCUUUGCGUAGUAACUUUACGUCUCGCACUGGGAUCCGGAGGGACUCUUGCCGUAAAACCCCCAAUUCUCCAAAGGUUGAGCUCGGAUCAGGUAGGAAUACCCGCUGACCUCAG